GGGGAUUUAGCUCAGUGGUAGAGCGCUUGCCUAGCAAGCACAAAGCCCUGGGUUCGGUUCCCAGCUCCA
rnacentral:tRNA from 1 species